GUGCCAGCCGCCGCGGUAAUACGGAGGGUGCGAGCGUUAUCCGGAUUUACUGGGUUUAAAGGGUGCGUAGGUGGGCUUAUAAGUCAGUGGUGAAAUCUCCGAGCUUAACUUGGAAACUGCCGUUGAUACUAUAGGUCUUGAAUUAUCUGGAGGUAAGCGGAAUAUGUCAUGUAGCGGUGAAAUGCUUAGAUAUGACAUAGAACACCAAUUGCGAAGGCAGCUUACUACAUAUAAAUUGACGCUGAGGCACGAAAGCGUGGGGAUCAAACAGGAUUAGAUACCCUGGUAGUCCACGCCCUAAACUAUGGAUACUCGACAUACGCGAUAUACAGUGUGUGUCUGAGCGAAAGCAUUAAGUAUCCCACCUGGGAAGUACGACCGCAAGGUUGAA
rnacentral:rRNA from 1 species